rnacentral:SRP_RNA from 1 species
GGGUAAGUCUUGCACGACCAGCUCCUGUCGAACUCCCCCAGGUUAGGAAUGAAGCAAGGGUAGAUGGUUGUAGCGGUGCGAUGCAAGUAGCUUACCCCUU